rnacentral:tRNA from 1 species
GCUUCCGUGGCUCAGUUGGUAGAGCAGCGCAUUCGUAACGCGCAGGUCAGCGGUUCGAUCCCGCUCGGAAGCU